GACGAACGCUGGCGGCGUGCCUAACACAUGCAAGUCGAGCGGAGUCAGUAAGAGGAAGUUUUCGGAUGGAAUCUUAUUGAUUUAGCGGCGGACGGGUGAGUAACGCGUGAGCGACCAACCUUGCACAGGGGGAUAACGGACCGAAAGGUUCACUAAUCCCGCAUGAGACCACGGUGUUGCAUGACACAGAGGUCAAAGGAGCAAUCCGGUGCAAGACGGGCUCGCGUCCGAUUAGGUAGUUGGAGGGGUAACGGCCCACCAAGCCUAUGAUCGGUAGCCGACCUGAGAGGGUGAUCGGCCACAUUGGAACUGAGAUACGGUCCAAGCUCCUACGGGAGGCAGCAGUGGGGAAUAUUGGGCAAUGGGGGAAACCCUGACCCAGCAACGCCGCGUGAAGGAAGAAGGUUUUCGGAUUGUAAACUUCUGUCCUUGGUGAAGAGAAGAAGACGGUAGCCAAGGAGGAAGCCCCGGCUAACUACGUGCCAGCAGCCGCCGUAAAAC
rnacentral:rRNA from 1 species